AGCUUGCUUCUUUGCUGACGAGUGGCGGACGGGUGAGUAAUGUCUGGGAAACUGCCUGAUGGAGGGGGAUAACUACUGGAAACGGUAGCUAAUACCGCAUAACGUCGCAAGACCAAAGAGGGGGACCUUCGGGCCUCUUGCCAUCGGAUGUGCCCAGAUGGGAUUAGCUGUGGUGGGGUAACGGCUCACCUAGGCGACGAUCCCUAGCUGGUCUGAGAGGAUGACCAGCCACACUGGAACUGAGACACGGUCCAGACUCCUACGGGAGGCAGCAGUGGGGAAUAUUGCACAAUGGGCGCAAGCCUGAUGCAGCCAUGCCGCGUGUAUGAAGAAGGCCUUCGGGUUGUAAAGUACUUUCAGCGGGGAGGAAGGGAGUAAAGUUAAUACCUUUGCUCAUUGACGUUACCCGCAGAAGAAGCACCGGCUAACUCCGUGCCAGCAGCCGCGGUAAUACGGAGGGUGCAAGCGUUAAUCGGAAUUACUGGGCGUAAAGCGCACGCAGGCGGUUUGUUAAGUCAGAUGUGAAAUCCCCGGGCUCAACCUGGGAACUGCAUCUGAUACUGGCAAGCUUGAGUCUCGUAGAGGGGGGUAGAAUUCCAGGUGUAGCGGUGAAAUGCGUAGAGAUCUGGAGGAAUACCGGUGGCGAAGGCGGCCCCCUGGACGAAGAC
rnacentral:rRNA from 1 species